rnacentral:lncRNA from 1 species
CGACUCCAGAUGUGGAGAUGUUCACCCCGGGAGAUGGUAUGAGGAUGUUCACCCUGGGAGACGGUGGCAAGUCUUGUGUCUAGAAGAGAACUUAGAAAAACACUGACAUUUACAGAAACCUGGAAAUAGGAUGAAGAUGAAGAGGGCUUGGUUCUAGUCCUGGUAAGGAUGAGUCAUUAACUUACUAACUCUUCAGUAUGAAAGUGUUUAUCCCUCUUUCUUUUCCUGAGAGGAAAAAGCAUGAACACCUUAAUUACUAAAAUGGAGAGAUCCAUGAAGGAGUAGAGUGAGGAGGACCCCAGAGACAGAUUCCAACCACACUAUCGUCUGGCCAGAACCAGCAAUUGUAAUUCAACACUGUGCCAAGAAGACACCGCAUUGUCAAAAGGGCUGACUCCGCAGUUUUUGCACGGAGAAUGCCCAAGACUGCCAGAGAGCCAAUGUGUGCCUCUCAAAUAGUCACACAACUAUCUUUAGUACAUUGUACAGAACAUUGGCCAGAGCGGCAUUUGUUCUUGAAGACUCAUUUGACAGCAAGUGAUAUGUGAGUCUACCAAGGGUUUCUAGGAAAUCAGUUAAAAUCAAGAUAGAGCACAAAUUGCAAAAAGUCAUUAAAUGGGUGC